UAUUUUCAAGGAUAAAUUUGAUCUCGAAGGAAUUCAAAGAUUUGAAGUUCCUUGAAGGAAAAAGAAGAAGAAGUUUUUCUCUAUUGUUGUGGAUUUUUUUAUGGGUUUGUCAACUUAUUGAAGAUAAGGAUUCAAGGCUUGUAAUUUGGAAAUUGAGUGAAACCGGUGAAUAUAUCAAGAUUGAAGUCCACCAAAGGAUGAA
rnacentral:lncRNA from 1 species